rnacentral:lncRNA from 1 species
UAUAAAUGCCUUUCUCUGGAGUGCAAUUUCAGUCGCAGUAAUUUUUCGGCGUCAACAGAGCAGGUAGCUGGCAGAACUCUGUCCUUACCAGCCAGGAGCAGCAAAAUGAAGUCAGUGUCGCUGGUUUUCGUCCUAGCAGUAGCUGUCGCCACACCUUGCGUCGCUUACCCUGCAAGCGAACUCAAACAGAACGACGCUGAAGCGAAUUCACUCAAGCGAGACGGACGGGCCUUAGAAACGCUGGGAAAGAUUUUGCAAGGCAAAGAUACAACGAUAGAAAACCGUGCACUCCUGGCUGACCUCGUGAGCCAAAUUUGGGCCUUCGAUGGCGCUGGACACACAACUGGAUGAGAACACUUCUGAGUACUUCUUCAAGAAGAUCCGAAGGGUAGUCGAGAACGCGGCGAAGGCAGUUGUCGUAAACAAAGCUGUGGGUGUCGUCGGUGGAAUGAUUGGAUAAAUCAGAUUCCUAAUGUUAACUCGCAUCUUCGCUGUAUGAAGUUGAAUGUAUUG